rnacentral:tRNA from 1 species
GCCUGUGUGGCUUAGUCAGUUAAGUGUCUGACUUUGGCUCAGGUCGUGAUCUCACAGUUCGUGGUUCAAACCCCACAUCAGGCU